CCCGACCUAGGACAAGAGAAACAAAAACAGCUCUUGUGCACUUGGUUUUCAGCUCCGUCCUUGCCCCGGGGUCGGCUGACCUGUCUGUGCAGCCUGUAUCAGGUUCUCCUUGCCUGUGAGUAUGAAGGCUACGCGGUGGCUGGAUUUUAAAUUCACCUCCAUGAGACAUGAAUACACACCAGUCUCCUCCUCCAGACAGAGACUGGGUGUGAAGAGGCCACCAAAGUGCAGGAAGGCAGUGAAUCAGAGUGGUCAGAUUUGCUCCAGUAUCAAGCCAGGAUGAGAAAAAAAAAUUUUUCCUGAAUUUGGCGGACUUUGGCUCUAAAAGGACUGUACCCACCUCUGUCUGUUAAAAUGAGAUUAACGUCUACUUACAGUGGGUUUAUUGGUCUUUAGAGAAUCAGAGAGGGUCCUUAACAGAUACAGCCUCAGAGACCCUCCAGUGAGCUGCAGAGUCCAAGUUUAGGCGCCAACACCACUGGGAAGAGGCUGACCACCCACUCGAGGACAGAGAAAUCUCUCAAGAUUCUAUGUUCCUUUUAAGUGAACGCACGCACACACUCACCAGUGAGCUUGUCUCGAACCCGGUUGAUAAUCUGAAUGGCUUUCUUAUUUAGGGCCUCUGGUUUCACCAAACCGUCUCCAACUGGAAUACACAAAAGUAGAAAUAACAGUAGGAUUGGAUCAUCUCAACAGUCUCAACAGACGCCCCUGUUUUUCUCAAAUAUUCACUUUUGUAAGUGUUGGGUAAUUCUCCCUCUGUGUCUAUCUUUGUGCUCGGAAUAUAAAGAGGAAUUCACAGAGCGUUGUCUGCUCAAAGGCAGUUUUGUUGCCUCGCCCUGUUGGCCCCUCUCAUGGCACAACACAGCCGCUGUGCUCUUCAUGAGCCGGUCCUCGGUGCAGUUCCUCGGACGUUGCACUUACUGAAGGAAUGAAUGGACUCUGGCACCGUGGUCCCUGUUUUCUUAUGCGCGGGUUCCCCAAGCUCCACACCGUCCAAAAUUUCUAGGAGGAAAAAGAAUCGACUGGCAGAACAUUCCACCACCAAGAAACCACUGUUUCAAGUGUUAGCUCUACUUCUCCACACACCACCUCCCCUUUCAAGCUCGCCCUGCUACCUCUGAGGGGAAAGGAGAGGAAGAAGGGUCACUAUGGAUUUGAAAGAUCUUACGUCUCCAAACACGAACUUUCAAGCAAACGGCCUUUAUAAGAUGUUCUGACGUAGAGAACAGGAGCGGGAAUGAAAGCCCUGUUGAUAAGACCUGUUUGGCUCGACAAAAUCUGAUGCUAGAAAAAACACGAGCCUUCCCUGGGUCACGCUCAUGACCCGAGUGUUAUUCUUUGGAGGAAUCUAUAUGCCAUUUCUGGGCAGAAAAAGUCCUCAGGCUUUAGGGUCACUCUCCACCAAUUGUGGCCUUCAGGAGAAAAGAGUCUGGAAGCAGGAGUAUGAGGUUAUUUGCACGUUGCCCUUGCACACCACAGGCCUUCAAAAUGAAGCGAGUAGUCGUAAUACUUCUAUGAAACUUCACUUUUAAGCCCCAUGACACCAGCCAGGUCCACCACUCUCUGGUGCCACCGGAACCAGCUGUCCUAAUUCCCCGUAGGCAGCACAGAGGAGUCACGCGAUAAUGUACGAACGAGGUGGACCCUGAGCACGAAAGUCUCACAUACCUUGGACAAGACCAGUCACCCGCACAAAGUAUCCCAGACACCGCAGGUAAUCCUGGCAUCAUUCACAAAUCCUGUCGCAGUGUCCGCGGUAGAGUCCGCACCGGUUCACAGAUUGCACCAUAGCCCAGGACCUCAAUGUCCUGCCCAGAACACCCUCUUCCCUCCCACUCGUCUGAAAUGGCCAGCCUAAAUCGCACUGACCCGGGACCUCCCUUCUCGACUGCUCAGUUCAGAGUGGUAGGUCCUUGCUCUCAGCCCCACAGCCUCUCCUCUGAACCAAACUGCAAACCGUGAGCUGCGGGACCACACGGCGGGGGUGGGGGGGGGGGGGAAUGACAGUUCUCUGAUCAGUUCGUGGACUAUACAUGUUGAUCGAUUCUGUGAUGUGAUUCUAUGCUUCUUUCAGGUAAUCUCUGUAUGUCACAUUCUUUUUGCACCCUUAAACAUUAUUUGGCUUAGCUAAGUAACAAGUUGCAAAUGUUCCAUAGGUAUUUGUAGAGAAUAUUUACCUUUUUUUACACCCCAACAGUAUUUCCAAGGUGCGACUAUGUAGGAUGUUGUUAGAUGUUACGGGGGAAACUGGGGAGGAGGGACGGGGAAGGUGAAACAAAGUUAACCCGCUUUACUCUUAAGACUUUUGAGAGGUUCACACGAACCCCGUUCUGGCUCUUGAAGGGCAUUAUCUUCCAGGGACCCUGUUCUGUGGACCCACUCUUGACAGCAGUGUUUCCUGUGGCUUCCCCGCCCCUCAGACAGCAGUGUGAGUACACUUCCAGUAGCUUCCUGGGUCCUCAGCCCGCAGUGCGAAUACACUUCCCGUGAGUACACUUCCUGUGGUUUUCCUCAGGCGACAGUGUGAAUACGCGUCCGCUGCUAUUUCCAAGCUACUAACAAUUCUCUAGGCCCGUGGACACAGCUAAUAAUUAUCCCAAUCCAGACAGCGUUCAAGGGCAUAUACUGGCUAAUAUUCAGACAUACUUUCAAUUGUGUUUACAGAUAGAUUAAGACUGGAAAGUUUGAUCAAAAUUUCUGAGCCUCAGGUACCCACCCCAUCCUGAGAGGCAUUAAAUAAAAAAAAAAAAAAAAACGUGUGCUCAGUAAAUAUUUCUAGACUAACUUUCUGAAGUUACAUAAAUGCCCAUUAGACGAUAUUUUAGCAGUGACACAACUUCUGCAUGACCGUAUCACUGGUAAGAGCCUCUGGAAACACAUGCUUCCUUCCUUCAUAUUCAGCAUCCAUUACCGCUUUCCAUCAUGCCUCCUAAUGGCAAGAACAAAGCCCACCCCGUUUGAGACAAACUCUGCACAAAAGGGACAGAAUCUGCAGUCUCCCAUGGGAUGCACCUACCUACUGACUGGCCAGCAGAGUAGGAAUCUGUCCUUGUUCGGGACCGCUUGUUGCCUUUGGUAUUUGCUGGGGAAAGAAAUAAGGAGAGGAUAAAAAGUG